ACUGCUCAGUAACACGUAGUCAACAUGCCCAGGGGACGUGGAUAACCUCGGGAAACUGAGGAUAAACCGCGAUAGGUCAUCACUUCUGGAAUGGGUAAUGACUUAAACCUAUAUGGCCCCUGGAUUGGACUGCGGCCGAUCAGGCUGUUGGUGAGGUAAUGGCCCACCAAACCUGUAACCGGUACGGGCUCUGAGAGGAGGAGCCCGGAGAUGGGCACUGAGACAAGGGCCCAGGCCCUAUGGGGCGCAGCAGGCGCGAAACCUCUGCAAUAGGCGAAAGCUUGACAGGGUUACUCUGAGUGAUUUCCGUUAAGGAGAUCUUUUGGCACCUCUAAAAAUGGUGCAGAAUAAGGGGUGGGCAAGUCUGGUGUCAGCCGCCGCGGUAAUACCAGCACCCCGAGUGGUCGGGACGUUUAUUGGGCCUAAAGCAUCCGUAGCCGGUUCUACAAGUCUUCCGUUAAAUCCACCUGCUUAACAGAUGGGCUGCGGAAGAUACUAUAGAGCUAGGAGGCGGGAGAGGCAAGCGGUACUCGAUGGGUAGGGGUAAAAUCCGUUGAUCCAUUGAAGACCACCAGUGGCGAAGGCGGCUUGCCAGAACGCGCUCGACGGUGAGGGAUGAAAGCUGGGGGAGCAAACCGGAUUAGAUACCCGGGUAGUCCCAGCUGUAAACGAUGCAGACUCGGUGAUGAAUUGGCUUAUUGCUAAUUCAGUGCCGCAGGGAAGCCGUUAAGUUUGCCGCCUGGGGAGUACGGUCGCAAGACUGAAACUUAAAGGAAUUGGCGGGGGAG
rnacentral:rRNA from 2 species